rnacentral:lncRNA from 1 species
ACAGAUGCAGCCUAUAUAUGUUACUCCUCGCCAAUGAAGAUAGUUCAUUGUAGAUAGUGCAUUAGGAUACGUCACGGAUACAUCACAUGUAAGUAUUUCUCUUUAAACUAUGUUUCUAUUUGUUAGGUAUUAAAAAUAAAUUUUCAGUAAGUGAAAUACCAGAUUGAAACUAUAUAACAAAUUGGUCUAAAACUAUUUUUAUUUUUUAAUAAGAAUAUACAGUAAUUGCAAAUAUAAAUUUCCAAUUUAGGAUUUGACUUAAAACAUGCAUGCAUCACAUUGAUUUUUGAAUUGAUUUACAAAAGCAAAUCGUCUUGAUUUUGAAACUGCAACAAAUUUAUAAUUUUUGUUUCUGUUGCAGAUGCAGCCUAAAUAUGUUGGCACUCCUUUACCAUGAAAGAUGCUUACAUUGUAGUUUAACACAUUAGAAUGAGUUACAUGUAGGUAUUUGGUCAUUUCAAUUGUUCUGAAAUAAUAAAACAAAAGUUUUUCCAGGAACAACAGUUUGAAACUUUAUUACAAAUUGGUCCUACAUUUCUUUUAUUAAAUUAUUUACUGUAAUGAUGUAUAUUUUAAUAAGAAUGCUCAGUGAUAGUAAAACUACUUUGUCUAGUCUCUAAUUUCGGAAUUGGCAUUUAACAUGCAUCACAUUAAGGAAGCUGGCUUGUCAUGUUUUAGAUUUUUAGUCAGAUUUUCGGAAUCCUCUGGUUUUAUCCAUUUGAAUGCCUUGAUAAAAUUUGCCCGGUGACCCCCAUUUUUCUUUUGUUAAUCUUUUAUAUGUAUAAUGAUAAGCCAUCUGUAAAAAUCUUAUAAAAUUUUAAUUACUUUUUAACAGUUUUUGAGAACUUCAACUUGUCAAUGAUAAAGCUAUGAAAAGUCGAGAGAAUAUUUUCCCGCCAAAAUUUCAAUGGCUUUUAUCUCAAAAACAAGCACGGUGACCUAUAUAUUUUUUUUGCUCUUUGGAUUCAUUUAUUAAUCCCCUAUCUAUAUAAACUAGUGUUUUGAAAAGUUAAUUACUUUGAAACUGAGAAGCGAACUCCCUUAAUUUCUUAAGUGGUUUGCAACUGGAAAUAGUCUUUUUUAAAACUGAAAUUAAAUUAUGUAUGUUUUUUGUUUUUGUUACAGAUACAGCCUCAAUAUGUAACACUCCUAUACCAUGAAAGAUGCUUCUAUUGUAGAAAGCACAUUAGGAAAAGUUGCAUGUAAGUAUUUGUUCAUAACAAUAUUUCUCAAAAAUAUGUCUACGUUUAUUAGUUAAUAAAACAAUUUUUGCUGGAAACAAUAAACUGAGCUUACAUGUAGGUAUUUGAGGGCACUGAAGUAAGCUUUAUAACAGACAUUGGUCUUAAAUUUUUCUUUCAUUCAGAUUUAUUCAUGUGAAGUAUAUUUUUAUCAGAAUGUAUAGAGAUUGUUAAAAAUAUACCUGUCUCCAAUUUAGGAUUUAACAUAAAACAUCCAUCACAUUAAUUUCCAAAUUGUUUUUGUUACAGAUUCAACUUAAAACAGAUGAUGUUUCAGUCGUAGCAGGUGCAGCAUGGCAGCCAAACAUGUUGAACUGAUUGUUGUGAUGAGACAGUUUAUUGCUUUGGAAAAUCCAAUUAUAUUGUUUAUAGAUUUAGAUAAUAAAAUUCUGUAAUGUUCAUAAUAUCAUAUGAUAAUUUGUUAAGUGCCCUCAAUAUGUCUUCAACGAAAUAUUAACAUGCACAAUUGAGGAUGCACUGUAAAAAAAUCUUCAAUAUUCUUAUUUUUAAAAGUAGGUUCUGAUUGUCAAUUUUAUAAGAUAUGUACAUAUUUACCUGAAUUUAUUUUUAAGGUAAUUGGAACAAUAUGACUAUUAAGAUUGUUUGAAAUUCAUGUUGAGUUUCAAUCAUUUCUGUUCAAAAUAUAUAUAUCACAUUCUUCUGGUUUGCCAGCAACUUCAAUUUUUGAAAUUAGAAAAUGAUGUAUAGCCAAAAGAUCAGUUGAACAAUGGUGUUGGUUGCAGUUAAUACCAGCUCUUUAUAGGAUCUUAAAAUGCCUAAAAUGGAAACAAUGUUUAAAUUUAACAAGUUACCAUAUCUACUGAUGAAGAAAUUAAAAUAUUGUGUAUGUUCCUUUUUUUGUACAAAUGGAUAUCUUUUGAGUAAUCGAUUGGAACACCCAAACAAUAACUUAAUCAUUUGGUUUUUUUCUUGUAUAUCCAUCAUUGUUUUUGUAAGAUAAAAACAAAAAGAAAGUAAUUUUGUUAAAAUUAUUUCUAAUUUUUAUCAACACAAUUAAAAUUCUAUUAAACUAAUAGUUUAGUUCAUGCUCCUUUAAUCUAUAUCUUAAAAGUUUUGUGGUGGGCUAAGCAAAUAUCAAAUAAUCAUUUCAGAAAUACACUUGAUUGCAGCGCUGCAUCUUCACUAACAUUUAACAUAGUUGGUUCUGAGUUACUGAGGUAGUUCCUAUUGGUGUGUUUCUUGUUUUUUCUAUGGAGGAAUCAGUAGUUUCUAUGUCUUCAGGAUAUGGUUUUGUCAUUCAAAGGGAACUCGCAAUCUCGCAAUGUAAUUCUGAAAUGAUAUAUAUUUGAUAUUUUAUUUUCAUUGAAAAAGAAACAAUAUUAAAUUUAUUGCAUGAACAUUUGAACUAUUUAAACUUUUUAAUUCAUAAUUUUUGGAAAUGGAAAAUUCAUAUUGUAACUGACAUAUUUUGGAAAUAGAAUUCAAAUUGUAACUGACACAUUUUGAAAAUUGAAUUCAAAUUGUAACUGACACAUUUUGGAAAUCGAAUUCAAAUUGUAACUGACACAUUUUGGAAAUAGAAUUUAAAUUGUAACUGACAGUUUGGAAAUAGAAUUCAAAUUGUAACUGACACAUUUUGGAAAUAUAAUUCAAAUUGUAACUGACA